CGUUAUGAAGCUAUAAAGCAUUAACCUUUUAAGUUAAAGAUUGAGAACACUAAUUCUCCAUAACGA
rnacentral:tRNA from 1 species